CUCAAUACUUACCCUGUUUACACUGAAAAGAAUGCAGCAAACAAAUCAAAUUGCAGAGUUUUUAGCAACUAUAGAGGUGCAAGUUUUGCGAGAUAAUUUCAUAUUGUGAUUCUAGAGAAAUACAUACAGCUUCUCUAUUUUUUUAAAAAAAAUUUCAUUCUGUUAGUUGUUGGCAAAUUGAAUGAUUCAUUCAUUUAUCCUUUUCAAUUUUGCUUCAACUAAUUUCAUGCUUAUUCUGCAACCUCUUUGAAGAAUACGAUUUUUGCAGGUUCUGCAAGCCAUUUCAAGAACAUGAUGCAUCUCUAGUCUAGAGCAUUCAGUAGCUUAAAAGAAAAUGG